UACCAGCACCCCGAGUGGUCGGGACGAUUAUUGGGCCUAAAGCAUCCGUAGCCGGCCUUACAAGUCCCCCGUUAAAUCCAGCUGCUUAACAGAUGGGCUGCGGAGGAUACUAUAAGACUAGGAGGCAGGAGAGGCAAGCGGUACUCAGUGGGUAGGGGUAAAAUCCGUUGAUCCAUUGAAGACCACCAGUGGCGAAGGCGGCUUGCCAGAAUGCGCUCGACGGUGAGGGAUGAAAGCUGGGGGAGCAAACCGG
rnacentral:rRNA from 1 species